AUUGAACGCUGGCGGCAGGCUUAACACAUGCAAGUCGAGCGGGGUGAUGGUGCUUGCACUAUCACUUAGCGGCGGACGGGUGAGUAAUGCUUAGGAAUCUGCCUAUUAGUGGGGGACAACAUCUCGAAAGGGAUGCUAAUACCGCAUACGUCCUACGGGAGAAAGAAGGGGAUAACUUGUGACCUUGAGCUAAUAGAUGAGCCUAAGUCGGAUUAGCUAGUUGGUGGGGUAAAGGCCUACCAAGGCGACGCUCUGUAGCGGGUCUGGGAGGAUGAUCCGCCACACUGGGACUGAGACACGGCCCAGACUCCUACGGGAGGCAGCAGUGGGGAAUAUUGGACAAUGGGGGGAACCCUGAUCCAGCCAUGCCGCGUGUGUGAAGAAGGCCUUAUGGUUGUAAAGCACUUUAAGCGAGGAGGAGGCUCUUUUGGUUAAUACCCAAGAUGAGUGGACGUUACUCGCAGAAUAAGCACCGGCUAACUCUGUGCCAGCCGCCGCCGUAA
rnacentral:rRNA from 1 species